rnacentral:lncRNA from 1 species
AUAAACUCUAAUUUGCAAGAUAAAGUGUCUUCUGUUAUUUUAUUGCUCCGUUUUUGGAGAAAUUUAAAUGAUCUAAUAUAGUGAACAGUCAGCAUGAUGAUUCCAAGUAUCAGUACAACAGAGUUCAAGGAAAAUGAUACACAUGUGGCCUCAGAGUAGUUUUAACAGCAAGAGGAUCCAUACUGUCUCCUGUAAUUGUUAAAGAUUUGGUUGGGACUCCGUAAAUUGAUAAGGGUGCUGGUAAUUGGCCAAGGGGCAAAAUACGAGAGAACAAUUUGCAUUCAACUUCCAGUUUUCACUGUUUCUCUGAAGUGCAAAACCACAAAAUCAUGUAAACAUUGUUUUCUAGUUUUUAUAUCUUAUUUGAUUUCUCAUAUCCUGUGAUGAACUGGCACAGCGUCCAAGGUGUACCUGUCCAAGCCUAGCAUACAGUGAUUCUGGAAUAGGCUCUGGAGUGCUGCAACCUUAACAAGGACAAUGGGCUAUGGAAGAUAUUGGUCCACAAAUCUGAGUGACAUGGCAUUUGACACCUGUCAGACUCAUCAAAGGAAACAGUUGGCUUCAGAUAAAGCGAGAGGAAAAUCCAUCCUCUGAUAGUCACGCCCGACAAGUACGACGGGAAACCGGAUGCCUGCCAAAGCUUCCUGCUCCAGUGCGAGCUGGUAUUCGCCAGCCUGCCGCACACCUACCAGACAGAUGAUAGUAAGGUAACCUGAUUUCUUUGCUGACAGGUCCAGCGCUGAAAUGGGCCACUGCUAUCUGGAGCAACCGUGUUCCCACUACCUAUGAUGCCU